rnacentral:rRNA from 1 species
CCUACGGGAGGCAGCAGUGAGGAAUAUUGGUCAAUGGACGCAAGUCUGAACCAGCCAUGCCGCGUGCAGGAAGACGGCUCUAUGAGUUGUAAACUGCGUUUGUACGAGGGUAAACGCAGAUACGCGUCUCUGUCUGAAAGUAUCGUACGUAUAAGGAUCGGCUAACUCCGUGCCAGCAGCCGCGGUAAUACGGAGGAUUCAAGCGUUAUCCGGAUUUAUUGGGUUUAAAGUGUGCGUAGGCGGUCGGAUAAGUUAGAUGUGAAAUCCCGAGGCUCAACUUCGGAAUGGCCUUUGAUACUGUACGGCUAGAGUGCAGUAGAGGAAAGCGGAAUGGAUGGUGUAGCGGUGAAAUGCUUAGAGAUCAUACAGAACACCGAUUGCGAAGGCAGCUUUCCAAGCUACUUCUGACGUUGAGGUACGAAAGCGUGGGGAGCAAACAGGAUUAGAUACCCUAGUAGUC